AGAGUUUGAUCCUGGCUCAGGAUGAACGCUAGCUACAGGCUUAACACAUGCAAGUCGAGGGGCAGCAUCAUCAAAGCUUGCUUUGAUGGAUGGCGACCGGCGCACGGGUGAGUAACACGUAUCCAACCUGCCGACAACACUGGGAUAGCCUUUCGAAAGAAAGAUUAAUACCGGAUGGCAUAGUUUUCCCGCAUGGGAUAAUUAUUAAAGAAUUUCGGUUGUCGAUGGGGAUGCGUUCCAUUAGGCAGUUGGCGGGGUAACGGCCCACCAAACCUACGAUGGAUAGGGGUUCUGAGAGGAAGGUCCCCCACAUUGGAACUGAGACACGGUCCAAACUCCUACGGGAGGCAGCAGUGAGGAAUAUUGGUCAAUGGACGAGAGUCUGAACCAGCCAAGUAGCGUGAAGGAUGACUGCCCUAUGGGUUGUAAACUUCUUUUAUACGGGAAUAAAGUGAGCCACGUGUGGCUUUUUGUAUGUACCGUAUGAAUAAGGAUCGGCUAACUCCGUGCCAGCAGCCGCGGUAAUACGGAGGAUCCGAGCGUUAUCCGGAUUUAUUGGGUUUAAAGGGAGCGUAGGCGGGUUGUUAAGUCAGUUGUGAAAGUUUGCGGCUCAACCGUAAAAUUGCAGUUGAUACUGGCGACCUUGAGUGCAACAGAGGUAGGCGGAAUUCGUGGUGUAGCGGUGAAAUGCUUAGAUAUCACGAAGAACUCCGAUUGCGAAGGCAGCUUACUGGAUUGUAACUGACGCUGAUGCUCGAAAGUGUGGGUAUCAAACAGGAUUAGAUACCCUGGUAGUCCACACAGUAAACGAUGAAUACUCGCUGUUGGCGAUAUACUGUCAGCGGCCAAGCGAAAGCAUUAAGUAUUCCACCUGGGGAGUACGCCGGCAACGGUGAAACUCAAAGGAAUUGACGGGGGCCCGCACAAGCGGAGGAACAUGUGGUUUAAUUCGAUGAUACGCGAGGAACCUUACCCGGGCUUAAAUUACACCUGAAUAAUCUGGAAACAGAUUAGCCGCAAGGCAGGUGUGAAGGUGCUGCAUGGUUGUCGUCAGCUCGUGCCGUGAGGUGUCGGCUUAAGUGCCAUAACGAGCGCAACCCUUAUCUUCAGUUACUAACAGGUCAUGCUGAGGACUCUGGAGAGACUGCCGUCGUAAGAUGUGAGGAAGGUGGGGAUGACGUCAAAUCAGCACGGCCCUUACGUCCGGGGCUACACACGUGUUACAAUGGGGGGUACAGAGGGCAGCCAAGCCGUGAGGUGGAGCAAAUCCCUUAAAGCCAUUCUCAGUUCGGAUUGUAGGCUGAAACUCGCCUACAUGAAGCUGGAGUUACUAGUAAUCGCAGAUCAGAAUGCUGCGGUGAAUACGUUCCCGGGUCUUG
rnacentral:rRNA from 1 species